rnacentral:rRNA from 1 species
GAUGAACGCUGGCGGCGUGCCUAAUACAUGCAAGUCGAGCGAACAGAUGAGGAGCUUGCUCCUCUGACGUUAGCGGCGGACGGGUGAGUAACACGUGGAUAACCUACCUAUAAGACUGGGAUAACUUCGGGAAACCGGAGCUAAUACCGGAUAAUAUAUUGAACCGCAUGGUUCAAUAGUGAAAGACGGUUUUGCUGUCACUUAUAGAUGGAUCCGCGCCGCAUUAGCUAGUUGGUAAGGUAACGGCUUACCAAGGCAACGAUGCGUAGCCGACCUGAGAGGGUGAUCGGCCACACUAGAACUGAGACACGGUCCAGACUCCUACGGGCGGCAGCAGUAGGGAAUCUUCCGCAAUGGGCGAAAGCCUGACGGAGCAACGCCGCGUGAGUCAUGAAGGUCUUCGGAUCGUAAAACUCUGUUAUUAGGGAAGAACAAAUGUGUAAGUAACUAUGCACGUCUUGACGGUACCUAAUCAGAAAGCCACGGCUAACUACGUG